GCGGCGCUCUCGGCCGUCUUGACGCGGGUGGCCCAGCGCUGGGCUGGACCCCGCGCGGGCGCACACCCCGCCCCCGGCUCCGCCCCGUUGGCGUCGCCACGUUCCCGCGCCCGAGUCGGCCCCAGCUGGAGCCCCGGCAAGAGCUUUGGAACCACCGGCAUCUCUGGAUAAAAUUGCACAGGGAUGAACUUGCUACCGAUGACAUAAGACUUGUCCUAAAGAGUUGUGAGUCCAGGAUUUGGGGUCUAUGGGUUCUCAUGCUUUGAUGAAGCCAAGGAGGUCCUCAUGCAAAGAACCAAGGGCUCCCUCUGGCCAGAGCCAGCGAGGAGCUGACUCUCACCAGCAACAUGAGCUUGGAAGCAGAUUCUUCCCCAGUCGAUCCUCAGAUGAAACCUCAGUCGAUCCUCAGAUGAAACCUCAACCCUGACCAACACGUUGACUGUGGCCUGAAGCAGAGGACCCAGGCCCACAGAUGUCACACCAAUCCAGUUAUCCAGAGAAAGGGGCAUGGGAAGGGUGUUGAGGCUACUUCUUAUCCCUUCAGUAUGUAACCUCUACAAGAGCAACUUUCUGUCACGAACGGGCCCAGCGAGCAGGAGGAGAUCCCUGGAGAAGGGCUCUCUCCUCACCCAUGCGUCACAAACCCCAGGUUGACUGCAUGGUCUGUCUGCUCGGUUCCUGUUAAUAAGAAUCCACAGUCCUGUGAGAGGAAAUCCAACUGACCACCUCUUACUUUUAUGCCUAUGGAUGAGCCGUCUGUGGGACCCGUGUCCACCUUGAGCUCAUUAGCUGUGGGCCCAGAGGCCCUUUGAUUCCCAGCAUUUCUAAUAGGGAACAAGAUUCACCUGGAAGGACAUGUGGGCUGUGAAUAGGAGUCUCUCCUGGAAUUUCACUCCUCAAUGUGGGCAUAGCCAUCUAGAUGUCAUCCGACUUCAGAGUAUCUGAAGAUAGAGCAAGGAGAAGCUGCUCGUCGGGACCCCAAGCCCCUAACCCCUCCACCUUUGCUGGUGCCAUCACUGCUACCAAGAAAUCAGAGCAGCACAGGGAGACGGGGUCUCUGGGUGCUAAAGAAGCUCAUUCUAGAAGCAACUAUUGAGUACCUGCUAUGUGUAAGGCAGAUUCUUAGGCCCACUAACUCUUGGAUCUUUUUUAGUAUGAGAUGCUAGUGGGGUGGAGAGCCUACUUUUUGAGAAAGCAUAUUUUUUGGAGUACUUAACUGUGAAUCAUGUAACAGGUAGAGCUUCUUAAGAACACUGUAGAGACAGUGUUAUAAUGCUUGCCAUUUUAGAGCUCAAAACUGAGGUGCAGAGAAUUUCAGUUACUUGUCUAAGGACACAGCGCUGUGAUAAAUGGAGGAGCCUAUAGGAAUCUCAGAUCUAACUAAGCUGCGUCUCUCUCUUGCCCUCCUCGGCAGCGACUGAAAGGAAGGCACACCGGUCUCGAUCACCUCAUUGGUCUCCCCCUAGACUGGGGGCAAGAAAUUGGCUUCCCAAUCUUGCACCCAGUAACUACCACAGUCAGGCCUGACGCACAGGUCAUACUCUGGAGUCUUAACCCAUGAAGGAAUGAAUCCAAAUGAAGGGGAAGGGGAGAGAUACAAGUGAAGAAGGAGCCAGAGGGGCCAGGGCAGAGGUGAAAGGCACUUGUUUUUGGCCUUGGUCUGUGCUAUACAGGAGAAGGUGUGGUGACUUUCCUUAGGGACACAGGUCUGCCGCAGCCAUGCCUUGAGCUCAUGGUGUUUUGGAAACUUCAGAACGAAGAUUUCAAGCAAGGAGUAUAGGAUGAGGGAAGACUGAUGGCCACCUCUAAGCAGGACUUGCCAUCGUCUGGGAAAUAGCAGGGGGUGGCUUUCCUGCCACUGCUGAUUCCUUGGUCCCUUUGCACAGUAAUUUGAUUGACUGCUUGAUUCAUCUGUAUCCUUUUCUGAUUUCAUAAACAUGUAUAGACCCAUUUUGUGUGGAGCGAAAACCUAAGGCUAGAAAGAUAAAUAAAUCAUGGUCCUUCCUUUGAAGAGCGCACUACCUAGUAGGGAACAAAGACAGGAAGGUUGAAGAUUAUUACGCAGUGCAGUAGAUAAUUUAACAGAGUUAUUUAUAUAUGAUGGUGAAAGGGGACAUAGAGAUAUUCCACGAAGCUCGUGAGUGAAUCACUGAAUGAAUGAUUUCAUAUUUUGCGCAGAAGGGGUAUUCUCCAUCAAGUACUAUGCUUGGCACUAGGUCAUGGCCUCAUAAUAUUCUCAUCAAAGGGUGAAUCUGUCCACUGCUAUUUUUUAAACAACCUAUUUAUUAAAGUAUAAAUGAUAGACAAUAAAGUGCACAUAUUUAACACUUUACAAUGGGAUACAUUUUCACCCAAGUAUACACUCGUGAAAUCAUCCCCACAAUCAAGGUGGUGAACAUAUCCAUCACCUCCAAAAGUCUCCUUACGCCCCUUUGUCGUCCCUAUUCUCGCCCCUUCCCAUAACCCCCCAUUUUCAGGCAGCCACCAAUCUUCUUUGUGUUAUUAUAGAUUAGUGUGCAGUUUCUAGAAUCACUGGAAUUAUACAGUAUUCCUUUUUGUCUAGCUACUUUCACUCAGCAUGAUUAUGUUGAGAUUCAUCCAUAUUGUGUGUGUUAUCAAUAGUUCAUUUCUUUUUGUUGAUGAGUAGUAUAGAUACACCACAAUUUGUUUAUCCGUUCACGUGUUGAUGAACAUUUGGGUUGUUCCCUGGUUUGGGUUCAUUCAAAUAAAGCUGCUCUGAA